rnacentral:pre_miRNA from 1 species
UCUUAUGGAUAAGCAAAAAAAGUGGUUUUCUUGAGAUGGAAUCUAGUCCUGGUGAAGAUGCUAUGAA